UCCUGCGGAUCGUCCUCGAACGAGUUCGGAUCCUCUACCACACAAUCAGCUUCUAAUAACGUCGUACGUUGCCAUACAAAGAGAAAACAUACACCAAUAAAUAAACAUGCACCAUUCAACAAACAAUAAAACAUACACUUUACAAAUCAUACAUAUAAAAGGAAGACGUCUAGAAAUAAAACUUGAUUUGUAAUUAUAAUAUAAGUCCAUCCAUAUCGACGAUCGUCUCAUUUGCUACGAGGUAAACUACUAAUAAUUUAGUCUCGAGAAUACACUAGAGGAAACUAUAUGGCAAAUUGACUAUGGAUGUAUAUACUAUAUGGAUUCAUUUUAAAAUACAUAAAUAUGGCGCUAAUUCAAACUUUAUAGAAUCUAGAAAAUUAAUUAAUUAAUUAAUUAUUGUAUUUCUACCGAAAGGAUGUGGGUAAUAUUUUGUUAUUUCUUUCUAAAAGAAAAAUUAUAGUAGACGUUACAACAUUAUUUAGAAGUCACAUAACCUUAAUAUUAACAGAACUAAAUUAAACUACUAAUUUAAUUGUACUAUUUAGAUUAUAGUGGACAUAGUCGCUAUAUUAUUUUAAUAUUAAUCGAGACUCCAGCGUGACUUAGUGAAUAAGCAAUUUGUGUAUAAUCGAACAUACGAACACAUACGGUGUGACUAAAAUAUAUAAUUCAUCCUGAGCAAAGACAACCGUAGAAUUAUUCAUCUAGUAUUAUUGUUACAAAUAUAUGGUUUACCUAUCCCUUAAUCUUUUACUCUAACAAACUAUAUUUAAAUUAAUGUCAACAAUCAUAAUCAAAUUAAAAUACACAAAGGCGAAAGACAGCAUACACUAAUUAAAAUAGAUCAUCACAUACAUAUGAAAUUAAUCGUUCAGUAUAAACAUGAUUUCAGACUCAAAAUUCACAACUAAAAAUUAUAAUUCGCCACAGAAGUUAGAUCGUGAUUAACUAACUCUUUUGAACUAAGAAAUAAUCUCACGCAAAAUAAUCUAUCUAUAGGGAUUAGACAGCAAAAUAUUCUUUUUCUACCUCUCCUUUCUCUUGUGCAGUGAACGAGGACGAAUGGGGCAGGUAGUCGGGUGUCGGGGGAAGGUCGUUGGGACGCAGUGUCGGCUUCGGAGUUCCGGUCGACGGUGAACGGCUCUAGCGGCGAGCGGCUCCGGUGUCGACAGCACAACAGCUAUCGGGAGCGGCUCCGGUCAGCGGUGAACGGCGAGGACCAAGCCACAGAGGAGGGAGUUCGAUGGAGGUGCGGCUGGGGAGCUCGGAGUGGGCUUGGGACGGAUGGGGACUGGCUCUAUGGGGGCACGGUCGAGUUUUGUAGAGGUGUGGGAAGGUGUAACAGACGCCGGUAGAGCUUCAUUGGCCAAUAAUGGCGCGGUGGCGGUGUUACUGCAGAGGAACGGUCGCUUGAAUGAGGACGUGAGUGGGGAGAGAAGAGGAGAAACGGUAGCCGAAGGCGCUCCACGUAAGGCGAGCAGUCGAGGAGACGCAGGGAUGAGCCAGCGUGGUGCUUGACGAGUCCAUGCGAGCGGCGGCGCGUUCGUGUGGUCUGGAUUCUGGAAGCAACGAUGGAGAAGAAAAUAGCCUUGACGUGUGGGGUCCACAAGUAAGAGAGACAAAAAGAAGGGAGAGGAACGUGACUGCAAGAAGCUGUCCGCCCAGGUUAGUUGGCCGAGCGGCCGUUUUUCAUUUUUUUCAUUUCUCUUUUUUUUUCUUUUUGUUAAUUUCGAAAUUCUUUUUUUCUUUUAUUUUUUUCAAUAAGUUAUUCAUUAAUAAAUAUACUUUAAAUAUUACAAAAGUAUUAUAAAUCUAAUAAUAAAAUUCAUAGUAAAUAAUCUUUAGGCAAAUUUCUAUUAUUUAUAUAAAUUUGGCCUCACAAAAAAGAAUAAAUUAAAAUAAUUUGUUGCAAUUCAUUAACAAACAAAACAACAACAAAAAAACCAUGCUCCUAAAAAAUGAAUGCAUCAAACAUUUGUGACCAAUAUAUAUUCAAAAGUUAAUUAUUUAUUUAUCAUUUUUUUAAUUCUUGAGAAUAACAUUUUCCUAUCUAAUACAUUCAACAACUAAAAUUGAAUCAUCAUUUUUUUUAAUUGAUGGAUUUGAGGUGUUACAGUCAAACUCUUUUAUAACUUAACCAAGUACAGAUAAAAUAAUAUGCCCUGUUUUCAAGUCGUCGACUAGUCCGCGACUAGUCGGCAACUAGUCGUCCGUUCGGUUUUGAGAGAUCGACUUGGGAACCGGCUCGCCUUUUCUGGCAAGUCGGGCGACUUGUCAACGACUGGAAUUUCUCAGACGACUGGAAUUUCUCAGACGACUAAUCGUCGACUUGUUCUAGCUAGUCGGCCGACUUGUCCCCAAUUCGGCCCAAGCAGCCCAUUACACAACUUAAACCCUAACCUAAAGCCGCCCCUCAUCUGCAGCCGCCCGCCCCUCCUCUGCACAGAGCAGGCCGCCCCUCCUCUCAAGCCGUCGGAAGCCCCUCCUCUCACGCCGCCGGCCGCCCCUCUCACGCCGUCGGCCACCCCUCCUCGCUUGCCGCCCUUCCUCUCACACCGCCCCUCCACUGCAAUCUGCAGUCUGCACGCCACCCUCAUCAAUCUGCAGGAACCUAGUGACUUGGUGAGUGCUUCUCCCCCUCUCCCGCCCUCGCAACAAGCUCGCCCGGCCUCUGCUCACCCUCCCCCGCCCUCUCAUCGAUCUGCAGGAGGCCUUGAAGAGAUGGAAGAUGCAUCUGCAGAUCGACCACAAGGGGAGUUAGGAAGCCAGCAGCCAUACGAUCAAAGAUCCUAAGAGAAAGGCAAAAUCGAAGGAUCCAGCAUGGAACUAUUGUUAUUGGCCGGAUUUGAACAAAAAUAUGUGGUGAAGUGCAUCCUUUGUGGCAAAAUUGUUCAUGCAGGUGUUAGAAGGUUGAAGCAGCACCUUGUUGGUGGUCAUGGUUUGGACUCUAUGUGCUGCUCACUGUUUGGACCUCAUGCUUGAGGACAUUGGGAAAAUUGGAGAGUUCAAGAAAUGCAUUUCCCAUGCUCGCCAAGUGACAACCUUCAUAUAUGGGCAUGGCAAACUUCUUGAUGCCAUGAGGGAGAAGAUAUGGGGUGAUUUAGUGAGACCUGCAGUUACAAGAUUUGCUACAUCUUUCCUAACUCUCCAGUCCAUAUAUAAGCAUAAGCAAGCUUUGAGAUGCCUCUCUGUUAGUGAUGAUUGGACUAGGUCCAAGUUAUCAAGCACAAAAGGAGAAAAGAAGGUCACAGAGAUACUUCUUUCUACAAACUUUUGGAACUCAGUCCAAGAUUGUAUUCUUGCAUCACAACCACUGUCCACUCAUUGUGUUGCGAAUUGUUGAUGGUGAUGAAAAGCCAGCCAUACCAGAGGUUGCCGCUGCCAUGGAUAUGGCAAAAGCAAAGAUCACUUCGGGUUUUGAAGGUAGAGAGGCAAUGAAGAGGAAGUUGCUUGCUAUUAUUAAUCGGAAGUGGCAAGAUCAAAUGGAGGUGAAGUUGUAUGGGGCUGCAUUGUUUUUAAAUCCAAAUAAGUUCUUUGAACUUCAAAAAAAUGAUCCAACAAAAAAGGGAGGUUGGUAAGCUGAGGGCAGCAUUCCAUGAGGUGCUAUGGAAGAUGGUUGAAGAUUAUGACCUUCAAGCUAUAAUCAGUAAACAAGCUGAUGAGUAUAUGAAUAUGGAUGACCCUGCCUUCUCAUCGCCAUUAGCAAUUAGAGAACAGCAAAAAAAGAGCCCCAUUUGUUGGUGGGAUGCAUAUGGUGGCCUUGCAUUUGAGAUUCAAUCCUUUGCAAAGCGCAUUGUUAGCCUUUGUUGUUCCGCUUCCGGAUGUGAGCGCAAUUGGAGCACUUUUGAAUUUAUGCAUACCAAAAAAAGGAACAGAUUGGAGCACCAAAGGUUAAACAAUUUGGUUUAUAUCCAAUACAAUAGAAAGAUGACAACUAAGUUCCAAAGAUUGCGUGAAGAGGGAAAUAUUGGUAACCCUUUAAUUUUAGAGGAUUUCCAAUGGGACAAUGAGUGGGUGGACAAUCAAAAUGAAACAGUUAGAGAAGGGGAUGAUCUUGCAUGGGCUCAUGUGGAUGAUGCAAUCGGUGCUUCUAAUUCACUUCAAGGUCGCAACUUCCCAAGAAGAGCCCGAUAUGAGUCUGUUUAUUCAAGGCGUUGUUAAGCUGCUGCUACACAGGAGGAGAGAGUUAUGGAAGAGGAAGAGCAAGGCAACAAGGGCAAUGAACAAGAUGAUGAAGAGUACAUGCCUAAUGAUGAUGAAGUGGAUGACUUUGAUGAAUCCCCACAUAGCAGUCCAACUCAAGCUGGUGCUGGUGGUGAAGAAAAUGCAAUGGAUGAUCUUGAUUUGGGAGAUAUUUAGGGUAUCUAGUAUCUAUCUAGCUACAGCAGCAGCUUAGCUAUCUAAUGGAGCUUAUUUUCUUUCAGGUUUGAACUAUAUUUUCUUACUAUUUGUUUUCCAAUUUGAACUAUAUGGCUGUUAUGACUUAUGAGUUUAUGACUUAUCACUUAUGUGACUGAUUUGGUUCAGUUUGAGGCUUCAAAUGAGGUAAGACUUGCUGUUUAUUUCAGUUUCGUUCAAUUUCAGACUUCAAAUAAGGUAAAAUAUCCUCUUUCUUCAUAUAUAUAAAUGCUAUAUUGUCUAUAUGAAGCCAUUAUAUAGGCAAAACAGCCACUAUAUUGGCAAGUCGACGACUAGUCGACUGACUAAUCGACUAGUCACCAAGUCGGUACCUUGUCGACUUGACUCGACUUAUCGACUUGAAAACCUUGAUAAUAUGUAUCUAUCUAUGCAAAUGCAAGUAGUAUACUACCCAGCCAAUCCAAC